UCGGUGACGCGCUGCAGCCGCCUGCGCCCCCGCCACGGGCGGGUUCCCCUCGGCUCAGGCCCAAGCUCUCCCUCAGCGCUGCCAGCCGUCGGCCCCGGCGGAGCCGGCGUCCACAGCCAGCCGUGAUUACGCUUCCUGACCACCGGGGCGCCCUCCUGGGUUAAGUGCAGUGUUUUAAAUGAUGCCCUUGAGCUGCCUAUAAACUGCCUACAAAUGACAGCUGGAGUGAAAAAUGACCUGUUUUGGGAUGAGAAUCUGUUGCAAGAGGAACAUACAGUUUGCAGAAUGAUGCACAAGGAGUUUUUUGGUACCUGUUGAAAACCUGUGCUCUAUAAAUGGAACAACAAAGCCUGGAUGACAGCACAUCUGUUUACAACAUAGUUUACUGAAUAUUCGAAGCCCACUGUUGAGAUCUAUGGCUCAGAAGAAAAGAUUCCUUUCAAAAUAUUGACAAUGUUCAUUGACAAUGCACCUGGUCACCAAGAGCUCUAAUGGAGAUAUACAAUGAGAUUAAUGCUGUUUUCAUGCCUGCUAACACAACAUCCACUCUGCAGCCCAUGGAUCAAGGAGUAAUUUCAACUUUCAAAUCUUAUUAUUUAAGGAAUACAUUUCAUAAGGCUAUAGCUGCCAUCGAUAGUAAUUCCUCUGAUGCAUCUGGGCAAAGUCAAUUGAAAACCUUCUGGAAAGUAGUCACCAUUCUAGAUGCCACUAAGAACAUUCAUGAUUCAUGGGAAGAGAUCAAAAUAUCAACAUUAACGGGAAUUUGGAAGAAGUUGAUUCCAACCCUCAUGGAUGACUGAGGGGAUCAAGACUUCAGUGGACAAAGUAACUGCAGAUGUGGUGGAAAUAGGAAGAGAACUAGAAUUAGAAGUGGAGCCUGAAGAUGUGAUGAAUUGCUGCAAUCUCAUAAUAAAACUUUCAUGGGUGAGGAGUUGCUCCUUAUGGAUGAGCAAAGAAAAUGGUUUCUUGAGAUGGAAUCUACUCCUGGUGAAGAUGCUAUGAAGAUUGUUGAAAUGACAAGAAAGGAUUUAGAACAUUACAUAAACUUAGUUGAUAAAGCAGUGGCAGAGUUUGAGAGGAUUGACUACAAUUUUGAAAGAAGUUCUACUGCAGGUAAAAUGCUAUCAAACAGCAUUGCCUGCUAUGGAGAAGUCACUCGUGAAAGAAAGAAUCAAUUGAUGUGGCACACUUCAUUGUUCAUUACUGCCUUAUUUUAAGCAAUGGCUACAGCCGCCCCAACCUUUCAGCAGCAAUCAUCCUGAUCAGUCAGCAGCCAAGAACAUUGAGGCAGGACCCUUCACCAGCAAAAAGAUUACAUACAACUCACUGAAGCCUCAGAUGAUGGUUAGCAUUUUUCAGCAAUAAAGUUUUGGGUUUUUUUCUCUGCUGCACCCCGCAGCAUGUGGGAAUCUUAUGUCCCCCGACCAGGGAUCGAACGCAUACCCCCUGCAUUGGCAGCCCAGAGUCGUAACCACUGGACUGCCAGGGAAGUCCCGGCAAUAAAGUAUAUUUAAAUUAAGACCUACUUCACUCUGUAUGACAGUUCCUAGAUCCAUCCACAUCUCAACAAAUGACCCAAUUUUGCUCCUUUUUAUGGCUGAGUAAUAUUCCAUUGUAUAUAUGUACAACAUCUUCUUUAUCCAUUCAUCUGUUGAUGGGCAUUUAGGUUGCUUCCAUGACCUGGCUAUUGUAAGUAGUGCUGUAAUGAAUAUUGGGGUGCAUGUGUCUUUUUGAAUUGUGGUUUUCUCUGAGUAUAUGCCCAGUAGAGGGAUUGCUGGGUCAUAUGGUAAUUCUAUUUUUAGUUUUUUAAGGAACCUCCAUACUGUUCUCCAUAAUGGCUGUAUCAGUUUACAUUCCCACCAACAGUUCAAGAGUGUUCCCUUUUCUCCACACCCUCUCCAGCAUUUGUUGUUUGUAGAUUUUCUGAUGAUGCCCGUUCUAACUGGUGUGAGGUGAUACCUCAUUGUAGUUUUUUUAUUUUUUUAUUUUUUUGCAGUACGCAGGCCUCUCACUGUUGCAGCCUCUCCCAUUGCGGAGCACAGGCUCCGGACGCGUAGGCUCAGCGGCCAUGGCUCAUGGACCCAGCCGCUCUGCGGCAUGUGGGAUCCUCCCAGACCGGGGCACGAACCCGUGUCCCCUGCAUCGGCAGGCAGACCCUCAACCACUGAGCCACCAGGGAAGCCCCUCAUUGUAGUUUUGAUUUGCAUUUCUCUAAUAAUUAGUGAUGUUGAGCAGCUUUUCAUGUGCUUCUUGGCCAUCUGUAUGUCUUCUUUGGAGAAAUGUGUAUUUAGGUCUUCUGCCCAUUUUUGGAUUGGGUUGUUUGUUUUUUUAAUAUUGAGCUGCAUGAGCUGUUUAUAUAUUUUGGAGAUUAAUCCUUUGUCGGUUGAUUCGUUUGCAAAUAUUUUCUCCCAUUCCGAGGGUUGUAUUUUCAUCUUGUUUGUGGUUUCCUUUGCUGUGCAAAAGCUUUUAAGUUUCAUUAGGUCCCAUUUGUUUAUUUUUGUUUUUAUUUCCAUUACUCUAGGAGGUGGAUCAGAAAAGAUCUUGCUGUGAUUUAUGUCAAAGAGUGUUCUUGCUAUGUUUUCUCUAAGAGUUUUAUAGUGUCCGGUCUUGCAUUUAGGUCUCUAAUCCACUUUGAGUUUAUGGUGUUAGGGAGUGUCCUAAUUUCAUUCUUUUACAUGUAGCUGUCCAGUUUUCCCAGCACCACUUAUUGAAGAGACUGUCUUUUCUCCAUUGUAUAUCCUUGCCUCCUUUGUCAUAGAUUAGUUGACCAUAGGUGCGUGGGUUUACCUCUGGGCUUGUUUCUAUCUUGUUCCAUUGAUCUGUGUUUCUGUUUUUGUGUCAGUACCAUAUUGUCUUGAUUACUGUAGCUUUGUAGUAUAAUCUGAAGUCAAGGAGUCUGAUUCCUCCAGCUCUGUUUUUUUCCCUCAAGACUGCUUUGGCUAUUUGGGGUCUUUUUUUUUUUUUUUUUUUUUUUUUUGCGGUAUGUGGGCCUCUCACCGCUGUGGCCUCUCCCGUUGCGGAGCACAGGCUCUGGACACACAGGCUCAGCGACCAUGGCUCACGGGCCCAGCCACUCCACGGCAUGUGGGAUCCUCCUGGACCGGGACACGAACCCGUGUCCCCUGCAUCGGCAGGCAGACUCUCAACCACUGCACCACCAGGGAAGCCCCUAUUUGGGGUCUUUUAUGUCUUCAUACAAAUUUUAAGAUUUUUUUGUUCUAGUUCUGUAAAAAAUGUCUUUGGUAAUUUGAUAGGGAUUGCAUUGAAUCUGUAGAUUGCUUUGGGUAGUAGAGUCAUUUUCACAAUAUUGAUUAUUCCAAUCCAAGAACAUGGUAUAUCUCUCCAUCUGUUGGUAUCAUCUUUAAUUUCUUUCAUCAGUGUAUUAUAGUUUUCUGCAUACGGGUCUUUUGUCUCCCUAGGUAGGUUAAUCCUAGGUAUUUUAUUCUUUUUGUUACAAUGGUAAAUGGGAGUGUUUCCUUAAUUUCUUUUUGAGAUUUUUCAUCAUUAGUGUAUAGGAAUGCCAGAGAUUUCUGUGCAUUAAUUUUAUAUCCUGCUACUUUACCAAAUUCAUUGAUUAGCUCUAGUAGUCUUCUGGUGGCGUCUUUAGGAUUCUCUAUGUAUAGUAUCAUGUCAUCUGCAAACAGUGACAGUUUUACUUCUUCUUUUCCAAUUUGUAUUCCUUUUAUUUCUUUUUCUUCUCUGAUUGCCGUGGCUAGGACUUCCAAAACUAUGUUGAAUAAUGAAGAUAACAUUUUUAAUUGGUUUAAAAUACAUAUGUUUAUGAUAUCACUUAUACAUGGAAUCUAAAAUAUGACACAAAUGAACUUAUCUACGAAACAGAAACAAACUCACAGACAUAGAGAAGAGACUGUGGUUGCCAAGUGGGAGGAGAGAGGCAGAGAGAUGGACUGGGAGUUUGGGGUUAGUAGAUGUAAUUAUAUAUAGAAUGGGUAAACAACACGGUCCUACUGUGUAGCACAGGGAGCUAUGUACAAUAUCCUGUGAUAAACCAUAAUGGAAAAGAAUAUGAAAAAGAAUGUAUAUAUAUGUAUAACUGAAUCACUUUGCUGUACAGCAGAAAUUAACACAACAUUGUAAGUCAACUACACUUCGAUAAAAGAAAUUUUUAAAAAUACAUGUUUAUGGUGUUGUUGCAACAUGAAUUUUAUCUGGCAAGUACUGUUGUUCCCAUUCAUACAAGAAUAGAAUGAAAAAAUAUUUAUGGUCAUCUGUACAUUUUAAUACAUUGGUUAAGAACACCAGAGAUCUGCUGCUUGCUAGCUGUACGAGUUCAUAAACGUUUUUACUCCUAGGGUCCUCAGGUUCUUCAUCAAUACAAUGGGAAUAAUAAUAGUGCCCUCCCUACAAGGUCACUUGAGGAUUAAAUGAAAUAAAGCAUGUGAAGCAGCCACACAGCAAGCUCUUAUUAAGCAUUAGCUAUUAUUAUUAUUAAUAUAGGCUGGGCAGGGCAUAAUAAAUAAACACAGCCUCACUAUAGCAUUCUUCCAGUAAGAAUCAUAACUAAGAGCAUUUCCUGUUGACUGGGUUGCAAGCUCCAUCUAAGCAGAUUUUGAGUUUGCUUCUGUAUGGAUCUAAGGGCACUGUGUUUUGCUAUCAUUUUAAAGAUUUUUACAUUUAUUUAUUAAUUUUAUUUAUUUAUUUUUGGCUGUGUUGGGUCUUCGUUGCUGCGCGCGGGCUUUCUCUAGUUGCAGUGAGUGGGGGCUACUCUUCGUUGCGGUGCGCGGGCUUCUCAUUGCGGUGGCUUCUCUGGUUGCGCAGCAUGGGCUCUAGACGCACGGGCUUCAGCAGUUGUGGCACACGGGCUCAGUAGUUGUGGCUCACGGGCUUGGUUGCUCCACGGCAUGUGGUAUCUUCCCAGACCAGGCAUGUGGUAUCUUCCCAGACCAGGAUUUGAACCCAUGUCCUCUGCAUUGGCAGGUGGAUUCUUAACCACUGUGCCACCAGGGAAGCCCUUGUUCUCAUUUUAAAAUGAACUUAGCAGAGGAUUGAUGUCUUGGUUCUGGGUCCCUCCAAAGCAGACCUGAAGAUAAAACUUUGCAUGCAAGUAGUUUAUUUAAAGGUGAUCUCAGGAAGCACAGUAAGGUAGUGAGAUAGGGAAGGAAGGAAAACUAAUAAAGGAUGUGUUAAUGAACAGGUUACUAUGGGCGACUGUUGCUGUGGACCCUUUGACAAGCUCUGUGGAACACACCUCAGAAUCAACUUAGGCGGGGGAAGGAAGCUUGAGUAUCUAUCUACCAACUUUCCUCCAUCAUUGGUUAAGGGGCACUUUUGGGGUGUUGACUCCCCAGCACUUCCAGCCCACCCUGUGAAGGCAGAGUGCACUCUCUUGGUCUGGCUGUGAAUGUCCAGGCAGACCCUCAGGAAGUCAUUGGCUAUACGGGAAUUGUUUGCGGGUGACCUCUAGGCAGGCCAAGGGGAUGUGAGUAGGGCACCAACAUCAACUUCUGCAAGUGGGUACUAGGUGGUUAGGAAAUAACGGUUAAUUACUCUUACGUGUAAUAAUGGUAUUAUUGUUAUAUAGGAGAAUGUCCUCAUUCUUAAGAGAUGCCUACUGAAAUAUUUGUGUCACAGUGAUUGCAACUAACUUUCAAAUGAUUCAGCAAAAAUAAAUAAACACACUCACAAAGCAAAUACAGCAAAAUGUUAACAUUUACUGAAUCUAGAGUUAGGUAGUGGUCUAUAGAUAUUCAUUGUACUAUUCUUUCAACUCUUCUGUAUGUUUGACAUUUUCAUAAAUAAAAUGUUGAGGAAAAGUAUUUAGUAUUUAUUGAGUGUCUGCUAUGUGCUGAACACUCUAAGCAAUGGGGUUGCCAGUCCCAUCCAAACCAAGAUGGUAGCUUUGUCAUGAAUUAGUAAGACUUGGCUUUUCAAGUCACUCUCCUGCCAUCUGUGGAGAACUGUUUUAAUAACUAUACAAUGGAUAAUGUCUAUAAAACGAAUGGUGCUCCUUUAACUCCACAACAUUAGGUUGGUACCCUGGGAGAUACUAAGAUGAGCAAAACAAACCUCCUGGUCUUCAAGCGUCUUACAUUUCUAGAGGGUUAACAAUGAUUAGGAGCCAGUUAGAGUGCAUUUUCAGAUUAAAAAACGUUAUCAUGGAGCCCCUUCUGGAGAGUCAAAGAAGUGACGUGCUUUGUCCAAGAACACAUAAGUUGUCCCUGGAACAUUCCUCUUUCCUAGGACCGACAGAGAGAGGAAACCAUUUUGCCAUAAGUAGUUAAGCCCAGUAGUUAACCAUUAAGCCUAAGUAGUUUCGCUGGUUGGAGUAUUAACAGAGUCCAAUACUCCACGUCCUCCACAAGUGGCUCAGGCCCAGAGGGACAGAAGACAGGCAGCCUCAAAUGUGGAAAUUCCUGAGAGUAGAAACAGUCUGCUCCACAUCAGGCCCAUGUACUUCUGGGCAGAGGAAGGGGUCCAAGAACUGGCAGCCAUGGCCAUCUGAUUUAAGUGAGCCCAAGAAGCACCUGUGGAGUCUCUGGGCACCUUUCCUUCAUCAGGAAUCUCAUCUUUAACAAACUCCCAGGUGACUGACAUGGUGGUUCAGGGGUCUCAUUUUGCGAACCAUGGACUAUGGGACUAAGUAUUGAUGCGGGUGAUGAAGGUAGAAGCCCCUCAGCUCAGGGUAAGUGCCUAGCACAGUGCCUAGUGCAUGGUGGGUACUCAGGAAACAGUAGUGAAAGGAAGGAAGGAGGGAAGGAAGGA